AUGAGCCCGCCCACCCGCCCACUGUGCCAUCCACUCAGCCGGGGCCUCCAGGUGACCCAUGCAGGUGGGCGCAGGAACAAUUCAGUGAGCCAUGACAUCCCACAACGUCCACAGGAGGUGGUGCUGGCGAGGGUGGUGACUGGGGGCACCCACAGCCAGAGCCGUGGCCCUGAGGCCGACAGAUUUGCUCCAGGCCCGCCGCCGGGCCAGGCCGGCUCUGCCUUGGGCUCUGGCUUCAGGGGUGGGCCCUGCUGCCCUGCGUGGAGUCCAGCUAUUCCCACGGAGCCUCCUCCAGGGGGUCACUGCACGUCCCAGCGGCAGCCACAGCUCCAGGGAAGCAGCACCCCAGGCCGCCGGAACCGCAGAUGUGCUGGGUGGUCCACGCGGUGCUUCUGCGCCCGUGACAACCAGCAGGAAGGAUGCUGUCCCCAGGCCGCCCCAGGAAAGCAAGGGCAUCCCUGGGGAAGAAGGCUGUGCGUCACCUGCAAGGUGCCCCCAGUGGAAUGGCCAAGCCACGCCCCGUCCACGCCCGUGUCACUCAUCCCUCCACACCCGCUGUCACAGAGGAACGGCCCAGCUCUGUGGUUGAACGAGCUGAGCCCAGCCUGUGCGGCGAGUCCGAGCUUCAAGUUUAUGCUCUGCGUGAAGACCAGGCCGGGUGCCUGGACAAAGACCUCCGACAGCCGGGCUGUACUAUGUACGUACUGUGUGUGCACGUAUGUAUGUGUGUGUACUGUGUGUGUGCAUGCACUGUGUGUGCACGUAUGUAUGUGUGUGUACUGUGUGUGCGCAUGCACUGUGUGUGCACGUAUGUAUGUGUGUGUACUGUGUGUGCGCAUGCACUGUGUGUGCACGUAUGUAUGUGUGUGUACUGUGUGUGCGCAUGCACUGUGUAUGUACUGUGUGUAUGUACUGUGUGUGCAUGUGCUAUGUACUGUGCAUGUACUGUGUGUGUAUGUACUGUGUGUAUGUACUGUGUGUGUACUGUGUGUGCACGUAUGUAUGUACUGUGUGUAUGUAUUGUGUGUGUGCAUGUACUAUGUGUGUGUAUGUACUGUGUGUGUGUACUGUUUGUGUGUACUGUGUGUGUAUGUACUAUAUGUAUGUACUGUGUGUGUACUGUGUGUGUAUGUACUGUGUGUGCAUGUACUGUGCAUGUACGGUGUAUGUACUGUGUGUGUACUGUGCAUGUUCUGUGUGUGUGCUGUGUGUGUGUACUGUGUAUGUACUGUGCGUGUACUGUGUGUGUACUGUGUGUGUGUACUGUGUGUGUACUGUGUGUAUGUACUGUGUGUGUACUGUGUAUGUACUGUGCGUGUACUGUGUGUGUACUGUGUGUGUGUACUGUGUAUGUACUGUGUGUAUGUACUGUGUGUGCCUGUACUGUGCCUGUACUGUGCAUGUACGGUGUGUGUACUGUG
rnacentral:lncRNA from 1 species